rnacentral:rRNA from 1 species
UACGUAGGGUGCGAGCGUUAAUCGGAAUUACUGGGCGUAAAGCGUGCGCAGGCGGUUCGUUAUGUCCGAUGUGAAAGCCCCGAGCUUAACUUGGGAAUGGCAUUGGAAACUGGCGGGCUGGAGUGCGGCAGAGGGGGGGUGGAAUUCCACGUGUAGCAGUGAAAUGCGUAGAGAUGUGGAGGAACACCGAUGGCGAAGGCAGCCCCCCUGGGCCGACACUGACGCUCAGGCACGAAAGCGUGGGGAGCAAACAGG